GGUGCUGUAGCUUAGAGGUUAAACUGCUUGUCUCGUAAACAAGAGAUCCUGGGUUCAAAUCCCAGCAGUGCCU